rnacentral:rRNA from 1 species
GUCUAAUCUGCUCAAUGAAUAAUUUUAAAUAGCUGCAAUAUUUUAAUUGUACAAAGGUAGCAUAAUCAUUUGUCUUUUAAUUUAAGAAUAGAAUGAAAGAUUAAAUAAAAUAUUAACUAUAUUAAUUCAAUAAAAAUUUAAAUUUUAUUUUUAAGUAAAAAAUCUUAAAUUUAUUUAUUAGACGAUAAGACCCUAUAGAACUUUAUACUUAUUUUUAAUAUUAAUUUUUAUUAUUAUUAUUUUAAAAUAAAUAUUAUAUUGGGGGUAUAAAAAAAUUUAAUAAAUUUUUUUAUUA